UUUUUCCUACGGGGGGCAGCAGUGGGGAAUAUUGCACAAUGGGCGAAAGCCUGAUGCAGCAACGCCGCGUGAAGGAAGAAGGCCCUCGGGUUGUAAACUUCUUUUAUCAGGGACGAAACAAAUGACGGUACCUGAUGAAUAAGCCACGGCUAACUACGUGCCAGCAGCCGCGGUAAUACGUAGGAUGCGAGCGUUAUCCGGAUUUAUUGGGUUUAAAGGGUGCGUAGGCGGAACAUUAAGUCAGCGGUAAAAUCAAGGGGCUCAACCCCUUUAAGCCGUUGAAACUGGUGAUCUUGAGCGGGCGG
rnacentral:rRNA from 1 species